rnacentral:rRNA from 1 species
AGUAACUGCGAGUGAAGUGGGAUAAGCUCAAAUUUGUAAUCUGGCAGCCCUUGGCUGUCCGAGUUGUAAUCUAGAGAAGUGCUUACCUGUGCUGGACCAUGUACAAGUCUCCUGGAAUGGAGCAUCACAGAGGGUGAGAAUCCCGUCUUUGACAUGGACUACCAGUGCUUCUAGGUGUGCUCUCAAAGAGUCGAGUUGUUUGGGAAUGCAGCUCAAAAUGGGUGGUAAAUGCCAUCUAAAGCUAAAUAUUGGCGAGAGACCGAUAGCGAACAAGUACCGUGAGGGAAAGAUGAAAAGAACUUUGGAAAGAGAGUUAAACAGUACGUGAAAUUGCUGAAAGGGAAACGCUUGAAGUCAGUCACAUCGGUUGGAAAUCAACCUUGCUUUUGCUUGGUGUACUUUCCAUCUGAUGGGUCAGCAUCAAUUUUGGUUGCUGGAUAAAGUUCUUGGGAAUGUGGCAUCUUUGGAUGUGUUAUAGCCCUUGGACGCAUACAGCAGCUGAGAUUGAGGGAACUCAGCAUGCCGCAAGGCUGGGCUUUGUCCACAUAACGUGCUUAGGAUGCUGGCAUAAUGGCUUUAAUCGACCCGUCUUGAAACACGGACCAAGGAGUCUAACAUACCUGCAAGUGUUUGAGUGGAAAACUCAUGCGCGUAAUGAAAGUGAUGGUUGAGAUCCCUGUCGUGGGGAGCAUCGACGCCCAGACCGGACCUUUUGUGAUGGAUCUGCGGUAGAGCAUGUAUGUUGGGACCCGAAAGAUGGUGAACUAUGCCUGAAUAGGGUGAAGCCAGAGGAAACUCUGGUGGAGGCUCGUAGCGAUUCUGACGUGCAAAUCGAUCGUCAAAUUUGGGUAUAGGG